GUCAUCUCAUGAUGUUCAGGGUCUUGCUGCUCCUGUUUGCCGUGGCUGGUCUCCAUGCAAGACCACUGCACCGAUUCCCAAAUGGUAAAUUAAAACCAAUUGGGCCACAAAUGGUCCAAGAUGAACACAGGGAUAGCUCAGUUCUGAAGCACAUGAACACUGAUGUGAAACCCAAGAAGCAACUACCAGUUCCCGCUGAGUUCUGCAGACAGGGAACAGAACCUUCCAGACGCUUCCUGAUGGACCUGAACACUGGGAUGCUCAAGCGCGGAGUUGGCAAAGUGAACGGAAAAGUUUCAGGAUUGGAUGAGCUCAAACAAGGCACUGAGAACCAGCUGCACACCCUGCAAGAGCUCAGAAUGCGUCCCAUGAUGAGAUCGCAGUACAGCGCGCAGAGCGAAAAACACGAGCAGAGAGCGAUCCCUGCCGAGGUGUACAGAAAAGGCACUGAAACUUCCAGAAAUGUCCUGAUGGACCUGAACACCGGUCUGCUCAAAGAACACAUGAACAAGAUGGACAGGAGAGUAGUGGCAGCUAAAUGGGAAGUGGUUUCUGAGCAUGAGGAUAUAAGAAGCCAAGACUCUUCUGAACAUAAGGAGAACCACAAAGCAGUUCCUGUUGAGAUCCGCAGACAGGGAACAGAACCUUCCAGACGCAUCCUGAUUGACUUGAACACUGGGAUGCCCAAGGAGGAACUCAGCGAAAUGAACAGAAGAGUUUCUGGCUUCUACAAUCCAGCAGCUAUUGAGAAGAGGCAAGGAACAGAACCUUCCAGACGCUUCCUGAUGGACAUGGACACUGGGAUGCUCAAGCACGAAGUUAGCGAAAUGAACAGAAGAGUUUCCGGCUUCUACAAUCCUCCAACUUAUGAGAUGAGGAAGGGAACCCAGAAUUCUCGCGCCACUCUGGUGGAUCCCAGAACUGGACAACUGCUGGAAUCUCUAACAGAGCUAAAGAGGAGCGCAGCGCCAUUGGAUGAGUUCAGACAAGGCACUGAGUACCAGCCGUACAUCCUACAGAAGCUCAGACUGAACAAACAAGACACUGAACCUUCCAGAAACCUCCUGAUGGACCUGAACGCCGGUCUGCUCAAAGAACACAGGAAUGAGAUGGACAGGAGAGUAGGGGGCUCAGCUAAAUGGGAAGUGGUUUCUGAGCAUGAGGAUAUAAGAAGCCAAGACUCUUCUGAACAUAAGGAGAACCACAAAGCAGUUCCUGUUGAGAUCCGCAGACAGGGAACAGAACCUUCCAGACGCAUCCUGAUUGACUUGAACACUGGGAUGCCCAAGGAGGAACUCAGCGAAAUGAACAGAAGAGUUUCUGGCUUCUACAAUCCAGCAGCUAUUGAGAAGAGGCAAGGAACAGAACCUUCCAGACGCUUCCUGAUGGACAUGGACACUGGGAUGCUCAAGCACGAAGUUAGCGAAAUGAACAGAAGAGUUUCCGGCUUCUACAAUCCAGCAGCUAUUGAGAAGAGGCAAGGAACAGAACCUUCCAGACGCUUCCUGAUGGACAUGGACACUGGGAUGCUCAAGCACGAAGUUAGCGAAAUGAACAGAAGAGUUUCCGGCUUCUACAAUCCUCCAGCUUAUGAGAUGAGGAAGGGAACCCAGAAUUCUCGCGCCACUCUGGUGGAUCCCAGAACUGGACAACGGCUGGAAUCUCUAACAGAGCUCCAGAGGAACGCAGUGCCAUUGGAUGAGUUCAGACAAGGCACUGAGUACAAGCUGUACACCCUGCAGGAGCUCAGGAUGCAUGACAUUGUUAGACCAAAGUAAAGCGCUUAAAACGUGUACGAAAGUCACCGUGUUUAGAAUUGAUGAGGCCUGGUGGACAACGUUUGGCUGUGUUCGUACCCUAUGACUGCAUGAAGACCAUCUCAGAACAUCUAGUUGACUGUACUGUUGUAUUCAGAGGUUUCAUGCAAUAAAAGUGUCAUGCGAUAUUUGGAAUGACCGCA
ensembl:lncRNA